AUUGAACGCUGGCGGCAGGCUUAACACAUGCAAGUCGAACGCGUGGCGGACGGGUGAGUAAUGCUUGGGAAUCUAGCUUAUGGAGGGGGAUAACUACUGGAAACGUUAGCUAAAACCGCAUACAUUAGGAUGUGCCCAGGUGGGAUUAGGUAGUGGGUGGGGUAAAGGCUCACCAAGCCGACGAUCCCUAGCUGGUCUGAGAGGAUGACCAGCCACACUGGGACUGAGACAAGGCCCAGACUCCGACGGGAGGCAGCAGUGGGGAAUAUUGCGCAAUGGGGGCAACCCUGAUGCAGCCAUGCCGCGUGAAUGAAGAAGGCCUUCGGGUUGUAAAGUUCUUUCGGUAGGGAGGCGUUACCUACAGAAGAAGCACCGGCUAACUCCGUGCCAGCAACCGCGGUAAUUC
rnacentral:rRNA from 1 species